rnacentral:rRNA from 1 species
UGUAACCUUUGCAUGGACUUUGACCGAUCUGUGUAGGAUAGGUGGGAGGCUAUGAAACCGGAACGCUAGUUUCGGUGGAGCCGUCCUUGAAAUACCACCCUGGUUUGUUUGAGGUUCUAACCUUGGCCCGUGAUCCGGGUCGGGGACAGUGCAUGGUAGGCAGUUUGACUGGGGCGGUCUCCUCCCAAAGCGUAACGGAGGAGUACGAAGGUACGCUAGGUACGGUCGGAAAUCGUGCUGAUAGUGCAAUGGCAUAAGCGUGCUUAACUGCGAGACCGACAAGUCGAGCAGGUGCGAAAGCAGGUCAUAGUGAUCCGGUGGUUCUGUAUGGAAGGGCCAUCGCUCAACGGAUAAAAGGUACUCUAGGGAUAACAGGCUGAA